GUAGUUUGCUAAUAUAAGGAAUAUUUUCUAUCACAUGAUGGGGAACAUCUAAUAAACGCAAAUUUACCAAGUUGGUCAAGCCAUCAUAUUCAAUACUUUCAUUCACAACUUUCCCUAGUGAAAGAGAUAGGUAGCGGAGGUGUAUCAAGCUACUAAGUGCAUCGGGCAGUUUAUAAGGGUCAAAAUUCACAUCUAAGAUCAAUAAGCGUAACUUUUUAAACCCUUUUAUAACCUCGAGAAAUUCAAGUGCAUGAUUUGCAUUAUGCUCAUUAUCCUCUCUAACAGAAAUGACAAGAGUGCGCACGUUCUUAAGAUUGGAGAUCUCUCUGAUGGAAAGAAGAUUUAUCAUCUCAACAUGUAAGUGUCGAACUGGUUUUGGAAUAAUAUUUCCUGCAACAUCACCUCCUAUUCUUUUGCAUUCCCCUAGAGAAACAGAUUGUGCUAGGUCAUGCAGCAGAUCGUGCAUAAAAUACUCUUUAGUAAUUUUCACCAGAUUAUCACUAGUUUCGCAAGUAAAGAAUGAUUUUCUUGUCAGAAGAUUUAAAUACUCAUUUCCGAUAUCCUCUGGCCUUUGCCUGUCGCAAAUAGAUUGCGGAAUCAGACUUGAACCAAUCCACAUAUUGACCAACUUUUUCCUCUUAAACAUAUAAUCUUGUGGAAAUAAACUACAAUAUCUAAAGCAGAGUUGUAAGUUUGUGGAUAAGUGAUCGUAGCUUAAUCUCAAAAUUGUCAUGAUGCCAUCCUUUCCUAGUUGUAAUUUCAUGAUGUCUUCUUCCAAGAUUUUCUUCCAAUAUUCAUAGUCCAUAUAGGAGUUCAGCAUUCCUCCCAUAACUUUUAUUGCCAAUGGGUAUCCUCCAAGUUUCUUCGCUAUAUGUUGACCAAUUGGUUGCAAGUUUUUAUAAUCAUCAGGAUUCACACCGAGGAAUGCAUGCUUAUUGAAAAGCGACAUAUAGUCGCUCUCCUCCAACUCAUUUAGAUUUAAUGAUUCCCGUUUGCAUUUCAUUACAUUUGCCACCAUAUCCGCAACUGAACCCAUUCGAGUUGUCAACAGGAUCUUGCUUCCUCUCUGUCCGGAUUUCAAAGGAGCAACCAAUUUCUCCCACUCCGUCAUGUUAUCAUCGUUCCAAACAUCAUCUAGUAUGAGCAAAAACCUCUUCGAUGUUAGUUUUUCUUUAAGUUUCUCAUGGAGUGCAUUUAGACGCUUGUCGCCAAAAUUCUCACUACUUACACAUUCUAAAAUUUUUCUUGUUAUCACAGUUACAUCGAAAUCCUGAGAAAUGCAAGCCCACAUAAUCGGGUCGAAGUACACUCGCACUCUUUCAUUACUAUAGACUAGUUGAGCAAGAGUGGUCUUCCCGAGCCCACCCAUACCAACAAUUGUGAAAGCAGAGACAUCAACAUCGGCAUCUCCCGGGUUGAUCAGCCAUUUGACUAUCAGGCCCGUCUCCUUGUCUCGUCCGAGCACCUCACUUUUGAUUACCAAGGAGCUAGUCUCGCGAGCAUUCUUGAUUUCCUCGAGCUUUUGACGCUUAACACUAGGAUUAGAAUUUUUAAGAUAAAUAAAUAAAUUUAUUUAAAAAAAUAUAUUUUGUAAUUAAAAAUAUAUGUGUGGGUACCCGUGGGUACCCGUGGGUUACCCAAAAUGCUCACAACUUAAUGGGUACCCACCCGUUUUACCCAUAAUUUUUUGGGUUGAAAAAGUUGCUACCCAUACCCGCAAAUUUGCGGAUAACCAACGGGCACCCGCGGGUUUGGGUCGAGAUUGCCGGGUCUAAUUGGUACCUUAAUAACAUCUAAUUGAUUUGAGUCUUGAUUUAGGAAAUUGAUUAUAAAAAUUACAUAUGCCUGCAUAAGGGAGGGUGGAGCAACUGCGUGCGCCAAAAUAUUACCUGCACCUGGUGUACAAGCACAUAUCUAUACACCGCAUCUCUGAAAUGGACAAAUGUUUUAGAACUAAGAAAAUUAAAAUCUAACUCACUGAAUGUUAAAGUGAUUUUAGACCAAAAAUGAUCUUUCCCUUCAUAAAGCAUUUGAUGAACUUGUCUUUCAAAAUCUAAUUCUUAUUUUUCUCUCUAAAAUCAGAAGUAUUUAAAACCUGCUAUCUCUAAUCUGAAUCUAAUUUUGAACUCAAAUUUUAAGCUUAAAUUUUAUUUUUAGGUUCAAAUUUUUAAUUUAAAUUUAGAUUUUUAAAUUUUAAAUUUUAAAUUUCAAAUUUAAGUUUUUAAAUCUUAAAUUUCAAGUUAUCAAUUUUUAGUUUUCAAAAUUUGAAUUUAGAUAUUAAUUUUUAGAUUUUAAAUCUCAAAUUUUAAAUUCAAUUUCAUAAUUUUUUUUAAUCUACUCUUUUUAGAUAUUUUAGGUUUAAUAUAUCAGACAAAUGUAUAUCGUUGUGUGGCAUAUAGCGUAUUUAUACACUGGAGGUACAUGCAUUUGUUCUUUCUGCAUAUCUGGUGUUUGGUAACACAUAAACUUAGUUAAAAAUAGUUUAAGAGAUAUUAAAUUAUAGAAAAAAUAAUAAUCCACUUGUUAGUAUUUUGUUUGGCGUAAAACAAAUUGAGAUUGAAGCACAAGUGCUCGGUUUGAAAGAAGAGAAAAUAAAGUAUGUAGGAAAGUAGAUGUGGGACGGAGGACAGAUACUACUGACUUUUUAGUUUUGUUUUUUCAUCCGAAAAUAAUUAUUUGUCACUUAAAGUAUAUAAUUAUGUCACUGGAAAGUGUAAAAUACGCAAACCAAUAUCAAAAAGCUAAUAUUAGUAUUUGACCAAAACUAUUUUCGACCUGAGCAUUUAUUUGAAUGCAUGAAUAUCUUAUCCGGUCUAUCUGUUAUGUUUAUUUAAGAACUGUAUAGUAUUUGGUAGAUUAGAAUUUCCAUCAAUUUAAUGGUUUUAAUUAUCUUUUGCAAACAAACUGAAACAACCAAUAGCUAAUAGAGGUAUUAAACUUCACAAAUUUUCGCUUUAACUAACUCAAAUAACUGAAAUAAAAAAAACCAUAUUAGAAUCUAAGAACAGUGUCAAUAAAAAACAAAAAUAAUUGCCAAGUUGAGGGGCCUAUUCGCAAUGGCGUAUAGUUGCAGAGGUCUCAUUUAGAAUUUUACCUCAAACAAAAAAAAAAAAAAAUUAUGUCUCUGAAAACAACAGUUCGAAAAAUAAGGAACUGCACAAAGGAGCGUAGACAGAAAAUUUGAAUCAAAACCAACCUUACAGAGAUUGAAGACUGAACUGAACAUCAGCAACAGUUGUCGGUCUGUUUGAGUUUUGAGUGUGCUUUUCUGUCGUCAAUGCAUUAGGAAAUUAAUUUUUUUUUCUGUUUUGGAAAAUCGUAAAGAAAGAAAAAGCAAGCAGCUGCAAGACGUGGUUGCAAGUUGAUGCCUGCUGCAGUGUAGGCCUCAUUUUCAAUUUACGGUGAAAUGUCGGUAUAAGUGUUAUCGACGGAGUGUCUGUCAAAUUUGCCCCGGAAAGUGGAUACAACCUGCAUUAAAAACUUGGAGUUGUUAUACUGCUAGAGAAACAUAAAAAUUGAUUGAUGUUUUAGCUACCUCAGAGAAGCUCAACAACUUCAUCAUAUAACAGACAAAAACAGAACAAGCUUAUGACUGGGCUAUGCGAUUUGCUAUUUGUGCAGGAAUCAAACACAAAAUUAUCUUUAAUAUAUACGCAUAUAAAUUGAGGGGAAACAAAAUUGAAGCAUUUAAUCUCCUUGCCGCAAAAAAGAGCAAUUUCUUUCUUAAAGAUUUUACAUUAGUUCGGCUGCUACAAACACACACACACACACACACACACACACACAAACAAAAAUGCAUGGAAUAUAUGUUACUCUGAUCCUGCACCAACAAAACUGAAGAACACAAGCAUGCAGUAAGACAUUAGUCUUUUUUUUCCAUAUUCUUAUGAAUAAAUUGAUGGACCAUGACCAUGUAUGGGAGUCAUAUAUGACAAUAAGAGCCUUUUUCACUAUUGCGCCAAAAAAGAAAGAGAAGAGAAAAUAAGUAGUAUGAUUUUAAUCUUGUUUUAUGCCAGAUAAGAAAAAUAGAUUCGAGCACCAAUAGGGGGUCCUAAUCCUUACAUGUUCCUGCACCACCAAAAUAGAACAUAAGCAGCUACUCUUGCUUUAUAUUCUUGAAAAAUUUGAAAGAAAUAUAUAUAUAUAGGAGUGCUAUACCAUUACUACUGCCCUGAACCAAGAAAUUUAACAAACUUAAAAAGCUUUUGUCAUGCUUCUCUUAUGUUCUAACUCAUCAGCGAGACUUCGCAUCUUGUUUGUACUCCUAGAGAGAGAAAUUACUGCACAAUUAGUCAUAUUUAACUUUAGAAAGCAAUUGACAUGCUAGCGCAAUUAACAUAUGUUAUAUUCAUGACAUUGUUUGUUAAGACUAGCACAAUGUAUUAUAUUCAUGACUAGCACAAUAUAUUCAUGACAUUGCGCUUUUUGGGGUUUUUUGGGGCUUUGAUUUUGGUUUUUGGUUUUUUUUGGUUUCUGGGUUCCUGCUCCUAGAUCUUGAUUGCGAUCAACCCAUGCUGUUCUUGCCGUUCUGUUUUUUCGCCUUACUAGACUGCUCCUAUACUCUCUGUUCUGACUUUGUUAAAAUAGGGUAUACCCCUGUUUAAUCAAAAAAAAAAAAGACUAGCACAAUGUAUUAUAGGAGGCAAUUAGUGCUUUAUUCCCUUUUUAUGUAUCCAAAUCAUAAAAUGAGAGUACAAAAUGUAAAAAUUCCAUUGAGGAUGCUAAUUAAAAAGGAACCUGGCUACUCUUGCAUUAUCUGAAAAAAGGUAAGCAAUUAAUCCCGUAAGAAAUGAGAUAACUUUGUUAAGACUGAAUGAGAUGUAUGUAGUUCAUUAAUUAAGACCAAAAUGAAUUGCAUUAUUUACAACAAAGGGUUACGAGAUGAAGGGGGGUAGAGUGUACUUACAAUUAAUAUGCAUCAUCAUCACGAUCUGCAAAUAAUGCUAUGUAAUCCUCACAAAACGGAUGUUGGCAAUCUUGGGCCAAUCAAGGCCUAUAUUCUCUUGGCAUCGCUCCUUCAACACAGGGUGACAGCUGUUGAUGACUAGACAACGCAGUGAAGUAGGUAGAUCUGGAAGUGACUGGAUGAGAUUAGCAUCUUCCACACCCAAAAUGACGAGGGAGCACAGUUUUGUCAUGCUGCGGGGUAGGGACUGAAGGGAGCGUGCUUCUCGUAUGCAUAAUUGUCCGGGGGGCAGCGUGAUUUUGUAGUAGCCAUUCCUCAGGUAAGGAGGCGAGAGCGCGUAAGCAUCAGAGAGAUGUCAAACGAGCAGACGGAGGAGAGACUUCUCAAUGGUCUAUGAGCAGGAGCGCGUGGUGUCAAUUGAUUAUAACCAUUCUUCAAAAACAGUCCAGUACUGUAUUCUUUUUUUGGCCGACAUCGUUGGGAAGGAGGCUGCAGCAGAAGGGCAACUUCAAUUAGCUUGUCACCACCUUUCAAUUAUCUAAAGAACGGAGCGAUACGAGAGCUUGUAUUCCACCAAUGAUGACAAGUUCUUUGCAGUUCUUAUAUUCUAAGCGGGAAAGCAUCGUCCACCGUGACACACUUUGUGCGGGGGAAGGGAUGCUAUACUUGCACAAUCGAGUAAUUCCACCAUAUAAAGAGGUUAAAUGCCGCUGACCACAGCAGUGGACCUCGAGGUCGCCAAAUGACAAUAGUGAGAUGACCGAGUACAGAGGGCAGUUCGAUGUCUGAGAUCCUACUUUUGUCAACUUGCGGCAAUUUUCUAUGUGCAAGGUUUUCAUGGCUUUGAAUUCCCAAAAAGCUCCGAUGGAACAUAUUCGAUCUUCUUACAGUGUCUGAUGACUAAGCUUUCAAGAGGCCUGAAAAUGUUCUUGCUACCGCAAGAAAAGAAAGAAAAGAUAUUUAAGUCUGGGCAAUCACAGCCAUGUAAAUACGAAUUGGUGUUUGGAUACAAGGGUAAAGUUUAAAUUGCCCCCGUGUGAUUUAACUCAUUUUAAACUUGACCUUGCAGUUCAAAAAGUUUUACUUUGCCCUCCUGUAGUUUAAUUUUUAUUUCAUCAAAAAAGUUCUAUAUGAAAUAGUGUGGCCAAUUAAAAAUAUUUAAAAAAUACUUUUUGAACUACAGGAGAGGGGGGUGAAAAUGAUAUUUUUGAACUACAGGAGGGGCAAGUGAAAAUGAGCUAAACCCAGGGGAGAAAUUUAAAGUUUACAAAAUAAAGCACUUACAUUGUUGUUUGCGUAAUUUGAUUUAUUGUUGAAAAGCGAUCAAUCCGACAUUAUAAAUAUGCAAAUCUCUUGACCAUAGAUGCAGAGUAGGAAUUCCCCUCAAAUUAGGGCAAUCAGAAAUAGACAUAGACUGAAGUUGAGGAAACAUGCACCUAUCAUCAAUUCCAAUCCACUCCUCCAAGUUAGGCAUGUCCCAUAACAAUAACAUCUUCAACGAUGGAAAGGCACAUCCACUGUUGCUUCCAAAGAAUGAACAAUCUAUUUGCUUUACUGUAUGCAGUCCCUGCAAGAAAAGGUGCCGGAGCGAAGAAAACUGCCAAAGAGGCGGGAGCUGCUCCCAUCUUUUACAAUCAAUUAGUUCGAUGGAUGUCAAAUUGACAAGAGACAGAUUUGUCAUCCAACAUGGAGAUUUAGCACCGUGGUAUUGUUCAAUGCGCAUUUUCUUGAGAUUGAUAUGUGGACAGAGGUUAUCGAGGAGCUGCUCAUCCGCUUCUGCACUAUUGGAGUGGCCUUCGGACCAUCGCAAUCCCAACGAUUUGAGAUAUUCUUUCUCAUUCAGCUUGGCCUCUGUAGCUUCUUCAGAAGUCCUCACAUUUUCAAGUUUCAUAAUACACAGGUGAUGAAGGUCCCUGAGGUUCUUGAGUUCACCGAUUUUGUAACCACUCUUCUCUCGGACAACAAAAUUUUGUAAUUUGUGGAUGAAAGGUAGUUUGCUAAUAUAAGGAAUAUUUUCUAUCACAUGAUAGGGAACAUCUAAUGAACGCAAAUUGACCAAGUUGGUCAAGCCAUCAUAUUCAAUACUUUCAUUCACAACUUUCCAUAGUGAAAGAGAUAGGUAGCGGAGGUGUAUCAAGCUACUAAGUGCAUUGGGCAGUUUAUAAGAGUGAAAAUUCACAUCUAAGAUCAAUAAGCGUAACUUUCUAAACCCUUUUAUAACCUCGAUAAAUUCAAGUGCAUGAUCUGCAUUAUGCCUAUUGUCCUCUUUAACA
rnacentral:lncRNA from 1 species